UCUCAUUUCUUUCGGAAAGCGGAAACCAGACGACCCAGCGGCCACGGGACGAGCCGCCCCAACUCAACCCCAGCAGGACGCUGGAGGGGCCUCCCUUGCCCACCUCUCUUCGCUGGCACUGGCCUCCCGCACCCGGGUCUGCAGUCCCCCCUCCAUCUCGCAGGUGUGCAGCCGCUAGGCCUGGGGGAUCCGAAUGACUGGGGCUGGAUAGGAAUGCCUUCGUGUUUCCCAAGACCCAGGGGCCUGCUCCACAAAGUUUGAAGGGUGGGUACACGCCGACCCAGGCAAGUUGCUCCCCCAAACCCAUGACUGACUAAUCUGAUAUGACAAAAGCCCAUGAUGGAUUUGGUAUAUGUUAAUUCACAAUGCCCUUUCCUCCAGAAUUUAACUAUAAGUUAAUACACACCGGAAACCACGCGCAUACACGCUCCUUAAUGGGCUUAGGUAUUAGCGAAUCCUAACGAUGCAUACAAAUGUGUUCUGCGCUCUGUAGACCCCUCAAGAUUUAUGGGCCUUGAGCUCUCUGAAGCUGUAAACAAGGAGAAAAAAAAAGAGAAAGCGAAAGCGACUGGGGGGAAGAGACAGAGGCCUGACUCACCCCUCCAGGUUUUGGAGAGAAGGGAUUCUUUAUGUAUUUUCCUUUCCUUGCAAGCUCGGUGCGUGUGGGUUUUGGCGUUGGUCUGGGGGUGGUGUUCUGCCUGAAUGCUGGUGUGCGUGGGCAGUGUGUUGUUUGCAUGCUGGGGUAGGAUGCCUGCCUCUUCGGAUUGCUGUGCAGGGGCCUGAACACAGCAGGCAUUUGUGACCAUAUAUGCGUGAGUGUGCACUGUGUUAGGGUGUGUGUGUGUGUAUGUGUGUGUGUGUGUGAGAGAGAGAGAGACAGACAGGGAGAGGCAGGCUUCCCCCUGGGCCAGGCUGCUGUCCCUUGAACGGUGGUGAACAAAUCUCUAACGACAAUCUUAAUAACAAUAAAUAAUGAAUAAUAAUAAUAAAACAGUAGUUAACAGUCCCUGCAUAACAGAAUAACAAUAAAAUGCAAGAGGAAAUAUUUUGAGGUGGAGACAGGAGUCAGGAUCACAGCAUCUGAGGGGGAGAUAGGAAAGGAAGGGAGGAAGACAGCUUCUUAAUAUGCUCUUGGUGGGGCUGCGGUUGGGAACCCCUUUCCCAGACAAGGGACGUAAGAGGAGAAGGAGAGCCAGGAGGCCACUCUUUAUUGCUUUUUUUCUCAGGCUUCUGCUUUGUGUGAUCAGGGAAGGGAUCCCACAUAUGGGAAUGGUUAAUGGAUUUUGGGACUCUCUAGGAGCCCCUGUUUUAAGAAGGAGGCCAAAUGUGCAGGCCCAGGCCAAGCAGCAGAGAUGAAUGAGGUGAUGACCACAGCCUUGAUCCGGCAGGAGCUCAGAGAUGUCCGGGAAGACGGGGGGCCCGAAUGGAAGCAGAAAAACAUUUAUGGCCGCUGGGAAGUUGGGAGAGCCAGGCUGGGGCUCCGGCAGGCCCAGGGAAAGUUCCCUUUCUAGGCUCUUUAUUAAAAAAUUUAAAAGGAGGAGUUGAGGCGCCUUGAAUUUUCCUUCGCGAGUUUGGAGACCAGCCGAUUUUUCAUGAAGCAAGCAAAGACCGCGGUCCCGGAUCCUGCAACAUAUACUUCAUUUUCUCCAGGCCUCUCCACUUGCCCAAGCUCUCAGCCACCAAGAGACAGAUGGAAGGGGCUUCUGGGCUGUGUUGGGAGCGGGCAUUGUCCCCUACCCACUCCUGCACAGUUUCCCAAAGUCCAGCCACCUCCGACUCUCCUUGGGGGAAAAAAUACCAGUACCCAGACACCUCUGCACCCUGUUAUAUGACUGGGCUUGCUUCAGGAAUAUCUUACAAAGAAGAAGAAGGAGGAGGAGGAACGGCUUGGAGUCAUGUUUACAUCUAGUUCUACUGAUCCGUUCACAUCUGGAGAGAUUAUUUAUAACUCCCUCUAUAACUCUCUGUUUGGAGGCACUGGUGGCUCUAAUGACAGACUGAUGUCUAGGAAAUAUUGCUCUAUGUCUAAUGGUACCUAAAUGUGCUGUGGUUGUAUUUACAGAUUUACGUUUGCGGGAAAUAUAAUUAUUUCCAUUGUAUUUGUGCAUAUACAGUAGUUAUAGGAGCAGAUUUAUAUAUGGGAAAAUAUGCGACUCCCUUACAGCCAUCCGGCUUUAUGUACAUUUGAUAUCCUGACAGAUUUAUAUCUCUGAACAGCUAUAUAGAUAAAAACGUAUAUUGUUAGAAUUAUGUAUCAGGAGAUAUAUACUUAUUGAUUGCGAAAUAGAGUAGUUAGAGCAUUCACUUAGAGCCAUAUAUGGCUAUGGAGAUAUUUCUAUAUUAUUAUCACUAUAUAUAGGCAUAUCUAUUUAUAACUGCAUAGUUAUAAAAAUAGACAUAAGUAAUUAUAGUCCUAUAGGUGCAUGCUGCAAUCUCUCUCUAGAGUUAUAGACACUUUCAAAUAUAACUCUAUAGAGAGAUCUGUAUGUAUAUAAGGUGUAAUUAUCCAGUGAUGUGUUUACGUUGGGACUUAGGCCCAUCUGUCUAGAACAGACACAUUUAUAUGUAGGGGCUGGGAGAGACUUAUUCACAGAUAUCUGCAGAGGGCCAACUGGAAACACUGUAUCUGCCCUCUAGGAAACCAGCUAGGAGAGUUGUGUACUUAUGGAGGGAUGGAGUUACAAAAGGGUAAAUAGAGCUCAGGGAGACUUAAGGAGGGGAGGUGAAUGGAGGGUGGGUGGGCUCGGUUUGAACAGAUAGUGGGAGGAAAGGGGUAAACACCAGCACCCACCAGAAGGCGAGAACCAGUUUUGUGAGGGGCUGGUGCAGAUGACUGUGGACAAGGAGCUUGUAAAAUGAGAAGCGGCUAACAGUCCUGCCACCUCACCCUGAGACACUCUCCACCGAGGAAGCAGCCUUCAGUUUGGCUUUUAGUGCACUGUAGGAUAGGGACUGUCAUGUCACUCCUGUAGUCCUAGAGCGUUUCUCUUGAACCCUAAUUUUUAGGUCUCAAAGAGUGGGCUUCAGAGAUAAAGAGGUUUAGUCAGGGACAGGGCGAGGAGCGUGGGGUGUACUUUUGCUUUCCAAUAAGUAAGGUAAUCCAGGAAAGUGAGUUAAUUUGGCCAAAUAAAGCUUGUUUUUAUGUGGGCCUCCUGUGCCCUGGUGCGGAUGUAGGAUGGGACCAGAAUCUGGUGGACUGAGGAGUGAAUUUCCAAGUAUUGGGCCUGCUCUGAUGGGGGCUUAGGGAGGUUGUCCUCACCACCCGCCCUCCUUCUCUGAGGCCUGAGUGGCCUAAUUCCCUCUGGGUACAGAGGGACUCCUUCAGCUCCCUAACAGUGCUGCCCUGGGUCUUUUCAGGGAGAAUUUGACUUUAGGAACAGGGAACAUGGACUUACCCCACUAGAUCUCACUUCUCCUACUCACAGCUAUACCACUCGUACGUCAGCCUCCUUCCAGGCGCCACUCGGCCAGGGGUCCACAGUUCUUCCCCUGCUACCAACCAGCCCAGUGGGGAAAUACCUCCCACGACUGACAGUUUUUGUGUUUGUGUGUGUGUGUGUGUUUUUUUUUUAACCAGGAAGUUACAGAUAACUUCGUUAACUGCGUGAAGGAAUUGUCCUGAACUCAGUCUCUGUGGCCAACCUAGCCUCCAGGAUCUCUAGGAUGCUAGGAAGGGAGUGGAGACCCUUGGACCAGGCUAACCACCAUGUGCCAUCCUCCACACACCCCUGCCCACAGGACUAGGAAUUCCUGCAGUGCAGGGACUCUGUCUGCUGCCUGGCACAGAAUGGUUGCCCAAACAUACUUGUUGAGGUAAACGGAAUGGCAGUCAAUACAAAAACUCACCCUCACUCUGCACACCACCAUAGCCACUGCUGGCUAGCAGGCACCCUAGCCAGGCUAGGAGAUAACAUGGCGGCUGGCAGCAGCCUGGGCUUUGACCGGACCAGUGGUUAGUAGCGUGGGAGAGCAUCUUGAGCCUAGGAUGGGGCGGGGACUGGAGCAAGGCACCUGGAAUCCAGAAAUUUGGGGGUAAGCCAAGGCAGACCCACCGCCCCAGUGCACUUCUGCUUUCUAUCUCCAGUCUCAUGGCUCCCUGGACCCCCAAAAGUUAUGAAAACUAAACCAGAACUGAGAACUGGGCUAGGAUGGAAUUGCCUGUGAACCCGAGGGGUGCAAAGAGGAACCACCAUUGGGUCCAUUAAGAAAUCCACAAAUAAAACAAAAAUAAAUCAGUGUGACACAGACAACCUGGCUGAAGGAAAGGUUUCUCUCUAUGCUUCAGCCCUGCUCCAGGGCUACCAAACAGAUCAGGCUUAAUAUUUAAAAUGUUUAAUAGUUAAAUUUUUUUAACAAUUUAACUUUAAAAAGGUCACACAUUUUCUGAUCCAGCAAUGCCCCAAUCAGAUUGUUUCAUUUUAUUAUUAUUAUCAACACUGUCCCCUUUUUGGCACCUGUAAAAUAGUUCCUUUCGGGAGUUUGGAGCCAGGCCAGGCACCGUCGGUGCAUGGGAUGAGAUGGGCAGGUUUGGAGCUCCUCUGUCUAGUGAGGAUCACGGUCUGCAGAGAAGGGUUGGCCUCCCCGUCUCCCAUCAAGGCUUAAAGCAAGGAGAACCAUCCCGAAUUUGGUUCCUUUUCCACUAAGUAUCCUUAGAGGCGAUCCACCCUGUGACUAGGUGACUAGGUGAAGGACUGAGGUCCAGAAAGGAGCUAUCUUAAACCUGGAAUCCCAUUUCCUAGUCUGCAGCCUUAAGCAGUUUCCCUCUCAGACAACUAGCCCUCUCCUUCCUCCGCAUGAAAACCCAUGGCUUACAGGGAUGGUUGUUGCUUUCCCUAAAGAAAUUCAGGAAGGGAGAUGUGAGGGUCAGUUCUCAGCGGUGGCGUUCUUUGAAGGGGACGCAGCCUGACUGCCAGGAAGGGAGAACGAGUCGGCCCAGCCAAUGCUCAUGCGCGAAGCACAAGCGGUUUCUCCCCUCACAGUGGUUCCCACGGUUGUCUUAGAAACCAGUCCCCGAGGCUUGGCAAAGGGGGAGACUUCCGUGGCAGUGCUUGGGUGUCAAGGCUCUGAGGCUCUGGCCUGACGACUCCACUGGGUCGAGGGGAAAGUCUCUGGAUGCCAAGAGUCACAAAGGGCCAAACAGGGUGAGGAAACCCGACGCAGAGUCCGGAGAAGGCAGCAUGGAAUCCCUCCCUCAGGCCUCUCUGGACGGUGUUGGUGGGGGUGAGUCUCCCCAAAAGUCGUGACACGGUGAUCUCGAGGACAGGACGGCCUGCGUGCCCCUGGGGUGCUCUCUCACCGAAGGGUCGUUCUCGUCGAAAGCAGAACCCCACAGCCUCAGGGGUUGCCUGGCCUCUUUUCUAGGAUCAAGAUGAACACACUGCAGACGAGGACACGAGCCCCACAGGAGCUCUUUGUCCCGCAGGAGACCAGCGG